CGGUUUUCUCCGUGAGCUGCAGCAAGCAUGGCUGAAUGUGUUGUGUCUUCAGCAUUUAAUCCUGUGCCAUCCGCGAGAAAUUAAGGCGAAGCAAUGCUUUUUCACCCAGCUUAUGAUACGUGGAAGUCGACAGUAAAUGUUCAAUCUUG